GCCCGGGUGGCGAAAUUGGUAGACGCAAGGGACUUAAAAUCCCUCGGUAGAAAUACCGUGCCGGUUCAAGUCCGGCCCCGGGCACCA
rnacentral:tRNA from 1 species